GAACCAUGCAUGAGGGACAAAUGUCUAUCUUCUCUAAUCACUUCCAUUUUGCAUACAUGACGCGUGUAUAUUUUUUCUCUUGUUUGCGGAUUAUUUUUCCCUCUCUCCUCAUCUUCCCUAUCUUACAUUCCUGUUGCCCCUCUCUUCCCCCUCUCCCUCUUAUCUCUACCUUUCUUUCCGCUUCCUUGCUUCCCUCUUUAUCUUUCCUCCCUCAUCUGACUUCUUCGGUUUUAACCCAUGGUUUCCGAUUUGAUUUGCAGUGUGAAGUCUUCCAAGAAUCCAAUGUCGCCGAGCUCGUGUCGGCCAUGGCCGGUGGAUGGAACCCGCAGCUAAUCCUCAAAGCGUGGCAUAGAGAAGGAAUCGUGCCAGACGAACAGUCAAGAUCCGAAUACGUGGAUGCCAUGCGUGAGGCAGGCAUGUCGCCGGAAGCAAUCGUGGGAGAGGCGGAAGAAGUGAUGGAAGCACUAGGGUUCUGAAGCAUGUCAAUAUGAGCACCCGGGGUGCAGUCUUGAAUCAGGCACGUCGAUUAGGAAUCAGGCGAAGAGUAUUUGUUCCGGAGAGGAAGUGGUGGAGGCGGCGGCGACGCCAGGCUUCGAUUGGGUUCUUGAGAGCUCUACCCCCUCCCUCCAAGCAUCUGGACCUUCUCAUAGUGAGAUGGCAGAUAGCCAUGCGAAUUGCUUCCAGUAUCCUUGUUGACUCGCCCCCAUUCAUAACCUGUUGGUGUAAGCUUGUAUGCAGUUAAUGAGCAAGAGCCUGGAGUGAAACUGCAAGUGAGGAUGAUGCACUUCUCUCCAUCCCACAGUUUAUUGUUCUCCAGAAUCCUAGCAUGAGUUGUGAGAUCCUGUAAAAGUAGAAUGGAAACUCAAUCAAGGCCUGAUUUUAUAAUACAGAACUGGAACCACUACAGCCUGCAGUCUGCACGGCCAGUAAGAAAGCAUGCUUAGUUAAAAACAAAUACUUGAGGGGACAACUAUGGAAGCUCAUUUGGUUGUGUAUGCAUCCAUCCCAAUGGCUCCAGAUCAUUUAAGAAAUCAUGCUCAGGAAGAGCAGAUGGAAGAUGGACCUGCUGAUGAAUCCCCCCCCUGUGGUGGCAUGGCAAUACAGCGGAUUUCUUUAACCUGAGGAUUGUCUGUGGACUUAUACCAUAUAGGUGGUGGAGGCGGUGGCGACGCCAGGCUUCGAUUGGGUUCUUGAGAGCUCUACUCCCACCCUCCCUCUUUCUGUCCUCUCUUACGAAUUUUCCCUAUGACGAUCUGUCCCUUGUGUGUUCUAACUUCUGAGUCUUCUGACCACCCCACUUAAAUCGAAGAAUCCCACACCUCUUCAAUUGAUCUUUAUCGCUUAAUUACCGGGUUUCUUCCUUUUUUUUUUUUUAUCUUCCAUUUCUCUCCUCUUUUGGUUUACACUUGUUGUGGUGGAAGCUGCCCUUCGUUCUUUUUCAAAAAUUCAGUUGGGUUCUUCUAUCUCUGUUUCAUCUCAACUACGCGGCUCUCUUUGUUGUAUGCUUUUCUUUUGUUGAAUUGACGCGUCAUUUUUU